rnacentral:rRNA from 1 species
UAGCUAGUUGGUGAGGUAAAGGCUCACCAAGGCGACGAUCUGUAGCGGGUCUGAGAGGAUGAUCCGCCACACUGGAACUGAGACACGGUCCAGACUCCUACGGGAGGCAGCAGUGGGGAAUUUUGGACAAUGGGGGCAACCCUGAUCCAGCCAUGCCGCGUGAGUGAAGAAGGCCUUCGGGUUGUAAAGCUCUUUCGGCCGGGAAGAAAUCGCAUGGGUUAAUACCCUGUGCGGAUGACGGUACCGGCAUAAGAAGCACCGGCUAACUACGUGCCAGCAGCCGCGGUAAUACGUAGGGUGCGAGCGUUAAUCGGAAUUACUGGGCGUAAAGCGUGCGCAGGCCGGUUUUUAAGACAGGCGUGAAAUCCCCGGGCUCAACCUGGGAACUGCGCUUGUGACUGGAAGGCUAGAGUAUGGCAGAGGGGGGUGGAAUUCCACGUGUAGCAGUGAAAUGCGUAGAGAUGUGGAGGAACACCAAUGGCGAAGGCAGCCCCCUGGGCCAAUACUGACGCUCAUGCACGAAAGCGUGGGUAGCAAACAGGAUUAGAUACCCUGGUAGUCCACGCCCUAAACGAUGUCAACUAGGUGUUGGGUGGGUAAAACCAUUUAGUACCGGAGCUAACGCGUAAAGUUGACCGCCUGGGGAGUACGGCCGCAAGGUUAAAACUCAAAGGAAUUGACGGGGACCCGCACAAGCGGUGGAUGAUGUGGAUUAAUUCGAUGCAACGCGAAAAACCUUACCUACCCUUGACAUGUCCAGGAGCCUGAAGAGAUUUGGGUGUGCCCGAAAGGGAACUGGAACACAGGUGCUGCAUGGCUGUCGUCAGCUCGUGUCGUGAGAUGUUGGGUUAAGUCCCGCAACGAGCGCAACCCUUGUCGUUAAUUGCCAUCAUUUAGUUGGGCACUUUAACGAGACUGCCGGUGACAAACCGGAGGAAGGUGGGGAUGACGUCAAGUCCUCAUGGCCCUUAUGGGUAGGGCUUCACACGUCAUACAAUGGUCGGUACAAAGGGUUGCCAAGCCGCGAAGUGGAGCCAAUCCCAGAAAGCCGAUCGUAGUCCGGAUCGCAGGCUGCAACUCGCCUGCGUGAAGUCGGAAUCGCUAGUAAUCGUGGAUCAGCAUGUCACGGUGAAUACGUUCCCGGGUCUUGUACACACCGCCCGUCACACCAUGGGAGCGGGUUCCGCCAGAAGUAGGUAGCCUAACCGCAAGGAGGGCGCUUACCACGGCGGGGUUCGUGACUGGGGUGAAGUCGUAACAAGGUAGCCGUAGGGGAACCUGCGGCUG